rnacentral:rRNA from 1 species
GAAAGCAAGGAAACUUACAACAAAGAGUCCCUCCCGACUGUUUACCAAAAACACAGCACUCUGCUAACUCGUAAGAGGAUGUAUAGGGUGUGACGCCUGCCCGGUGCUCGAAGGUUAAUUGAUGGGGUUAGCAUUAGCGAAGCUCUUGAUCGAAGCCCGAGUAAACGGCGGCCGUAACUAUAACGGUCCUAAGGUAGCGAAAUUCCUUGUCGGUUAAAUACCGACCUGCAUGAAUGGCGUAACGAGAUGGGAGCUGUCUCAAAGAGGGAUCCAGUGAAAUUGUAGUGGAGGUGAAAAUUCCUCCUACCCGCGGCAAGACGGAAAGACCCCGUGGACCUUUACUACAGCUUGACACUGCUACUUGGAUAAGAAUGUGCAGGAUAGGUGGGAGGCUUUGAGUAUAUGACGCCAGUUGUAUAUGAGCCAUUGUUGAGAUACCACUCUUUCUUAUUUGGGUAGCUAACCAGCUUGAGUUAUCCUCAAGUGGGACAAUGUCUGGUGGGUAGUUUGACUGGGGCGGUCGCCUCCCAAAUAAUAACGGAGGCUUACAAAGGUUGGCUCAGAACGGUUGGAAAUCGUUCGUAGAGUAUAAAGGUAUAAGCCAGCUUAACUGCAAGACAUACAAGUCAAGCAGAGACGAAAGUCGGUCUUAGUGAUCCGGUGGUUCUGUGUGGAAGGGCCAUCGCUCAAAGGAUAAAAGGUACCCCGGGGAUAACAGGCUGAUCUCCCCCAAGAGCUCACAUCGACGGGGAGGUUUGGCACCUCGAUGUCGGCUCAUCGCAUCCUGGGGCUGGAGCAGGUCCCAAGGGUAUGGCUGUUCGCCAUUUAAAGCGGUACGCGAGCUGGGUUCAGAACGUCGUGAGACAGUUCGGUCCCUAUCUGCCGUGGGCGUAAGAAGAUUGAAGAGAUUUGACCCUAGUACGAGAGGACCGGGUUGAACAAACCACUGGUGUAGCUGUUGUUCUGCCAAGAGCAUCGCAGCGUAGCUAAGUUUGGAAAGGAUAAACGCUGAAAGCAUCUAAGCGUGAAGCCAACUCUAAGAUGAAUCUUCUCUAAGCUCUCUAGAAGACUACUAGUUUGAUAGGCUGGGUGUGUAAUGGAUGAAAGUCCUUUAGCUGACCAGUACUAAUAGAGCGUUUGGCUUAUCUUU